UACGUAGGGUGCAAGCGUUGUCCGGAAUUAUUGGGCGUAAAGAGCUCGUAGGCGGUCUGUCGCGUCGAUCGUGAAAACUUGGGGCUUAACCCUGAGCUUGCGGUCGAUACGGGCAUGACUGGAGUUCGGCAGGGGAGACUGGAAUUCCUGGUGUAGCGGUGAAAUGCGUAGAUAUCGGGAGGAACACCAGUGGCGAAGGCGACUACCUGGCCUGUUCUUGACGCUGAGGCGCGAAAGCUAGGGGAGCAAACGGG
rnacentral:rRNA from 1 species